CCUCCCUCCCAGCCGCCGCCGCCUCCUCCUCUCUCUCGCCGGUGCCGCCGAAGGAGGAGAAGAGGAAGAAGACGGGAGCACUUAGAGGAAGGAGAGGCCCUUAUUUUCCUUCUUCCCGCCGCUUCCUCCUCUGUUUCUCAUGUGCCGCCGUCAUCAACCCCCACCGCUGCUCCUUCCCCACCCCACGCUAGCCCUCCACCUCGCCUUCCUCCUCUUCGUUGUCCAUGCCGCUCUCGGAGUCCUUCCACUCCAUCCAAGGAGCUCCCAUCCCAUCCCGUGCAAGAUUUCAGCAGCAGGGGAGGAAGGAAUCGACGAUGGCGCAAGGGCCCCUGCCUCCUCGGUGCUGCACAACGGCAUGCCCGGAUGCUGGAGAGGGGCGUCUGGACCAUUGUCGGCAGCGACUUCAGAGCAGAGCUCUCGGUUGUUAGGGAAGUCAGCCAUCGGCGGUGACCGACGUUGCCUCCUCGUCGAGUGUGCUGGUGCUCAUCGUGGUUUUCCACAUCCCAGCAGCAGACCAUAAACGGAAUUCAACCCAGUCUCCAUCAGAAUGGUGUUGAGCAGUCCAGAAACAUCAGCAAUAGCACACUGGAAGGCCUUGAUAGCUAAAUAUCAUAUCUUAAAGCAGAGGCAAAAUCUAUAAUUGAUAAGGUGAGAAACACAAUGGAAUCAUUAUGUCAACUUUGCAAGUUAAUGUACUCUUAUGAGGAGGAGAAAAGGGAUAACUUAAGAAAGUAAUCAGCAUUCUCAUAUCACCACUGGAGAGAAUAACAUCCGCUGGUCUUCUUUCCUAGGAAACAAUUGAGAAGAUUUUACCAGCUCGCCACCAUGUUCGAUUCUGUUUGGUAAACUGGUCUUGGUCAUCAUUAAAGUCUGUGGGGACCAUGGGAUGCUAAUGGCUGGAGGAGGGUCAAUGAGGGUUCCAUGCAUGCUGGGAGGAACAAUGUGCAAGGCUAAGGCUUGUUGCCGAUGGCGGAACAUCCUCUUUUCAGCGAAGGAUGACCCAACAUGUGCAGUAGCAGGAGCAACAUCACCAAAAAAGGCCUCAAGCAGGACACGCCUUUGUUUCAGCUCGUUAUUGUAAGGUGUUCUAUGUUUCAACGCGCCGCAGCUACCACUUCGCCACUGCCCUGACUCCUUACUCCAGACCAUGGAUCCGCCGUCGAUGGAGAGCGCCAACAGGAUGAAGCUUUGCCGACCUAGCCGACUCAUGUGUUGUUGCCACCGCAAUCCUUUUCUUUGUUGGAGUCUUCCUCCUCUGGAGAGAAAAAAAUUGGUGUCUUUGACACGCUUGGGAUCGACGGAUUAUUCAUGCCAUGGUUGGAUUUGAAUGGGGUAGUGUCUAUCCAAAAUUUGUUUGGUUGACUGGACUAUUUGUUCGUUUGGCUGUCUUAAUGCAACCCAAUUCGCAUAAUUUUGCAAACAUCAGCAAAGAUUUCAGUGGUUGGGAGUUUUUGCAAGAGUGGAAACAAAGCAUUUGCUCGAAGGAGCUCAAGAUUUCGCUAUUACCUUGCUGAUAGUUUUGUGAGUCUAAUUCCUCCCAAGCAGCGGCUUUCAAUGGAGACUUGACAGGCAUGGUUUUACUUCAUGAAGCCAUUUUCUGAAUUUUUUGAAGUUGGUUGCACACCAUGGUGUCAUGAGAGAGAGAGGGAUGGAGAGAGGGAGGGAGAGAGGUUUAUUCACACACUGCCAAUCCAGUUUUCCUGUAAUUAUUUUUAUGUGCAUCUAUUUUAUUUCUUCUUUGGUUUAGGGAACAUAGAAAUGCAGGAGGUAUUAGCCAUGCUCAUGUUAAUUUCUGUUAUUAACAUGACAGUGGAAUUCGAUAGGGUUAAAUUUGUCCCCCAUGGUGGUGCGGGUUUCGGGGUUUCAAGGGUGUGAAAUGGCAUGGAAGACAGAGAUGGCAGCAGCCUGCAUUCUCGAAUUGGAGUUGCCCCUUGGAGAGUAGCAGGUUGCUGAAAUGACGACCAGGGUGGAUGCCCAAAGUUACAGAAAUAUCUACCUGGGAAGAGGCGCCAAAAUUUAGAGGCACACGGGGGAUGCUAGAGGAUGAUCAGAAAGAUGAGGAGAAAGCUCAGGCCUGAUGUGGUGUGAUCUUGUUGAUUCAUAUGGCAGAUUGUUACAGGAUCAGAGGACUUAGCUGAAGGCAGGCUUGAGACUGCUGAAAAAGUGUUGAUAUGGCACUUGUGUGUACCAUGGCUUCCUUGCAUAUUGACUUUAACAAAUAUGAAAGAGAGUUGUUUCUAACCUGCUACGCAACAAGGAUUGCAAUGCAUUGCAGUUUCUUAGGCUGUUGAAGGGAAUGGAGGAAACUGAAGGCGAUAACAAUUCCUGUUUGAAGGUCAUCACAGACUAUAUCCUGGAAACUGAAAAUUUGUUGGAGAAGAUCUAUUAUGAUGCUAUAGAAGUUGCAGAUAAGGAUCUUCUCCCCUUCUGCGUAGGGUCUGAAAGCAAGGGCAUGUACUAUAAAAUGUAUGAAAUAUAUUAUUUUCUCUUCUAUGUUUGUUGAAUGAAUUGCUACGAAGUUUAUGUUGAUAGAUUUGUUUUUUUUCCUUUUUAAGAAUCAGUUAUUUUUGUAAGCACCACUAAGCCUACCUUGCAGACCAUCUUGGUGUUUUAGCAACAACAGUGAACAUGUUUGUCCUCGUUUUCAA